UACGAGGGGGGCAAAUGUUGUUCGGAAUCACUGGGCGUAAAGGGAGCGUAGGCGGGUUUCUAAGUCAGGUGUUUAAUCCCGGGGCCCAACCCCGGACAGGCACUUGAAACUGGGAAUCUUGAAUAGGGGAGAGGUCAGUGGAAUUGGAGGUGUAGCGGUGGAAUGCGUAGAGAUCUCCAAGAACACCAGUUGCGAAGGCGGCUGACUGGACCCAUAUUGACGCUGAGGCUCGAAAGCAUGGGGAGCAAACAGG
rnacentral:rRNA from 1 species